rnacentral:rRNA from 1 species
UCCGCAAUGGACGAAAGUCUGACGGAGCAACGCCGCGUGAGUGAUGAAGGCUUUCGGGUCGUAAAACUCUGUUGUUAGGGAAGAACAAGUGCUAGAAUNNNAGCUGGCACCUUGACGGUACCUAACCAGAAAGCCACGGCUAACUACGUGCCAGCAGCCGCGGUAAUACGUAGGUGGCAAGCGUUAUCCGGAAUUAUUGGGCGUAAAGCGCGCGCAGGUGGUUUCUUAAGUCUGAUGUGAAAGCCCACGGCUCAACCGUGGAGGGUCAUUGGAAACUGGGAGACUUGAGUGCAGAAGAGGAAAGUGGAAUUCCAUGUGUAGCGGUGAAAUGCGUAGAGAUAUGGAGGAACACCAGUGGCGAAGGCGACUUU